GGGCCCGUAGCUCAGUCGGUCAGAGCACCCGACUCAUAAUCGGAGGGUCGCAGGUUCGAGUCCUGCCGGGCCCA
rnacentral:tRNA from 2 species